rnacentral:lncRNA from 1 species
GAUUUUAUUGGGUGGAGAUUUUUUUAACGUUUGAAAAUUUUCGGACUAAAAAUUAUAAAGAAUGAAUAUUUUAGGUAUCAAAAUUUAAAUAAAAUAAUUUAAUUAUCAAAAUAAAAAUAAAAAUAUUUCAAAAACUAAAUCAUGAAUUAAGGCUUUUACGAUACAACAAACAUUCUAUAACUAAAUCAUGAUUUGUGUUUUAACUUAGUUUUUGCUUUUUCGGUUUCAAAACCACUUUAUCCAAUUAGGGUUUAAUUGUUUUUUAAUUCAUUGUUUCUACUUUGUUUUUUUUAAACAUUUAAUGUAAAGAUAAAAACAAAAUG